CAGCAGUGAGGAAGGUGGGUAUGUUAAUAGCAUACUCAUUUGACGUUAGCUGCAGAAGAAGCACCGGCUAACUCCGUGCCAGCAGCCGCGGUAAUACGGAGGGUGCGAGCGUUAAUCGGAAUUACUGGGCGUAAAGCGCAUGCAGGUGGUUUGUUAAGUCAGAUGUGAAAGCCCGGGGCUCAACCUCGGAAUUGCAUUUGAAACUGGCAAACUAGAGUACUGUAGAGGGGGUAGAAUUUCAGGUGUAGCGGUGAAAUGCGUAGAGAUCUGAAGGAAUACCGGUGGCGAAGGCGGCCCCCUGGACAGAUACUGACACUCAGAUGCGAAAGCGUGGGGAGCAAACAGGAUUAGAACCCUGGUAG
rnacentral:rRNA from 1 species